GCCAAGGUGGCGGAGUGGUUAACGCGCUGGUCUUGAAAACCAGUUCCUUACGGAUCAGGAGUUCGAAUCUCCUCCUUGGCG
rnacentral:tRNA from 1 species